rnacentral:rRNA from 1 species
CGGGGUGCACCAGGCGCGAAAACUUCGCAAUGCACGAAAGUGCGACGAGGCUACUUCGAGUGCCGUCCGCUGAGGAUGGCUUUUGCCAAGUCUAAAUAGCUUGGAGAAUAAGGGGAGGGCAAGUCUGGUGUCAGCCGCCGCGGUAAUACCAGCUCCCCGAGUGGUCGGGAUGAUUAUUGGGCCUAAAGCAUCCGUAGCCGGUUCCGUAGGUCUCCUGUUAAAUUCAACGGCUCAACCGUUGAGCUGCAGGAGAUACCGCGGGGCUAGGAGGCGGGAGAGGCGGACGGUACUCCGUGGGUAGGGGUAAAAUCCUCUGAUCCUCGGAAGACCACCAGUGGCGAAGGCGGUCCGCCAGAACGCGCUCGACGGUGAGGGAUGAAAGCUGGGGGAGCGAACCGGAUUAGAUACCCGGGUAGUCCCAGCUGUAAACGAUGCGAGCUAGGUGAUAGAAUGAUUUCGUAUCAUUCUAGUGCCGCAGGGAAGCCGUUAAGCUCGCCGCCUGGGGAGUACGGUCGCAAGACCGAAACUUAAAGGAAUUGGCGGGGGAGCACAAGGGCGAAUCGCG